rnacentral:rRNA from 1 species
UACGGGGGGAGCAAGCGUUGUUCGGAUUUACUGGGCGUAAAGGGCGCGUAGGCGGCCACCGCAAGUCGACUGUGAAAUCUCCGGGCUUAACCCGGAAAGGUCAGCCGAUACUGCGGGGCUAGAGUGCAGAAGGGGCAACUGGAAUUCUCGGUGUAGCGGUGAAAUGCGUAGAUAUCGAGAGGAACACCUGCGGCGAAGGCAAUCCCCUGGGCCUGCACUGACGCUCAUGCACGAAAGCGUGGGGAGCAAACAGG